rnacentral:lncRNA from 1 species
UUCUGGUCUGUGUCUUAGGUUUGUUCUGUUCAUGAGUUGAGAGGUGCCAGAGGCACAUCCCUCUGGUUAAAGGCUCGUGUCUUGGGGAUUUGUAUUUUGAAGGGGAAUAAUAAAGGAUAUUUUAAACCAAUGUCUAUAUGUGUGUGUGUGUCUUAGAGACACAGACACACAGUUCAUGAGUUCUGUGUCUUAUGAUAGUGUCACUUUAGUGUGUGUUAGAAGUAUUAACUGUGCUUUGCUGCUGGUCUGUUGAGUGGUAUUUACAGAAAACAUUCCCAUGAAUUUUUUGAAUUGUGUAUUUGUCUUUCAUGAAAUACUACACAGUUUGGUAGAAACUUCCAUCCUUCCUCUAAAGCUGCCCGUCCUUGUAAACACCUCUAGCAAUUUAUGAUCCAAUUUCUCAUGAUUUUUUUGAAUUUUGUAUUUGUCUUUCAUGAUAUACUACACAGUUUGGUAGAAACUUCCACCCUUCCUCUAUAGCUGCCCGUUCUUGUAAAUACCUCUAGCAAUUUAUGAUCCAAUUAUUAGUAUUCAUUAUUAAGAUCAAUAUAACAACAAUGUUUUAGAUGUCAUGUGGCUUAAAGGCAAUGCUCAAUCAGGAGCCUUAUAGAGACAUCGCAGAAGCUUACUUUUGUACAUAUAACCUAAUAAUAAUGGGACUUCUCUUUAUAUGCUUUAUUGCCAUGCAUUACACUGACAGUAUGAUACUGCAUUGCGGACCAGCAUGUAUUCUUUUCACAUACGAGUUCAUUGUCAUACAAAUUCAUGCAUUUGUAGUUAAGGUUUUGUUUAAAAAAAAUGUUCAGUAGGAGAGCUGCACAACUUUUCGUGUUUCCUUAUUGCUGUUUCGGAUGGUAUUUCCUUCACUUGAAAAUUCUUUUGUUCUUUCUUGUCAUUUUUAAAUUCUUUUAUCGUGCAUGUCGUGUCACCUAACAGUGCGGUUCUGUUUAUGUGCAUGCAGGGACUUACUAUCAUUGCUUUUAACAAUGGCAGUUUUGACACAAAUACUGUAUUGGAACUUCUUAGCCUGGGCCCAACUUAUAUCAUAAUGGAAUUUAUUGAGAGUUUGUACCAAAAAACCUCUUCGUUACCAUAGUAGUGUGAUCUUUUGCAUAAAUUCUCUUGUAGGUGACUAAUUGCUUCUAUUUGUUGUUUUGUUUGAGGAAGGUGUAUUGGACAUUCUAAUGAUGUAUGGCGCCUAUUCAACAUCUCGUGGUUCUGCAAUCACUAGAGUGAUCUGGCGAUUCUGUUGGUUUACCGCAGCUUCAUUGGUCAUCUGUUACCUAUAUAUGUAAGUUUCGAUACCUGCCCAGAUCACUAUGUAACUAAUUGGAAUUAUUGGAAUUAUUGGCAAUUCACUAUGUAACUGGAUGAUUUGUUUCAAUUGUUCCAUUAAGGAUCUUAUAUCAUGUAGCUCAAGAUGAAUACUAAAAUUCUUGGAAUAUAUCUUUCCCAUGAUACAAUCAGUAAGCGUUUGAUCCUGGACUGUUGGAAAAUAGAUAAAGUUUGACCUGGUGCCCUCAAUCUCCCUGGCACUCGUAAUUGGUGGGUUGAAAUAUGAUCUGUUCUUAAGGCCCAAGCAUAAGGACUAAUGGCUAACAUUUUGCUAGCCUUGCUAUUUUUUUUAAUAAAGAAAGGAUUAAUGGUUAUCCAUUAGUCAUUUGAGAUAUAUCUAUAAUCUUGGUUGUGUUGAAUAUAAGGGCAUGAUGGCCAACAGUAGAAAGAUCCAAUUUGUACCUAAUUGGGAUGUCUGGCCCAUCUUGACUUGGUUUGUAUGUCCUUUGAAGCUUGUCAUUAUGUAAACCACCCUCCAUUAGUUUCUGGCACUCGGCAUCUCGUUUGACAGUGUUGGUUAAUACAUCUUAAUUCUGAGAACAAGAUGGGUAGAACAAGGCUUUACAUGGUUUGCUUGAAAAAGUUAAUAGCAGGUUGGCCCAAGAACAUCUCUUCUGUUUUUCCGAAAUGAAAAUACUAAAACUGGCCUGUGGACCAGGACAUCAGUUCAGUUUUAUUGAUGAAACUAUCACAUUAGCCAUCCAAACUUUUUUGUAGGUAUUUUGACAAUUCUAGUUAUCGAGGAGCAAAGUAUUGACACCCUUUGAUGUCAAACUCUAAUGCUUAUGCUAGUUUACUUGGAUGAAAAACUGAGUUCUUUACGUACCUACUCGCCUUUGCAUUUAUGACCGCAAUCUUUAGCAAAACUUCCUGCCCAAGCGUAUUAAUAGAUCCCCUUUUUUGGUAUCAAAGUGUGGGGAAAAUCCCUUUGUAGUGUUUUCUCAAUUUCAGUAAAAGUAUAAUAACUUGUUGUUUGCAGCAAGGCACUUCAAGAUGGGGUGCAAUCUGCACCUUUUAAGAUAUAUGUUGUUGUCAUCAGCGCGUAUGCGGGUUUCCAGAUAAUCAUCAGCCUUCUCAUGAGCGUUCCCUGCUGCCGUGGUAUUACCAAUGCUUGCUACAGCUGGUCUUUUGUACGCCUUGCCAAGUGGAUGCAUCAGGUCUUGUCCCUUUUCACACUUUCUGAAGGCGUAAAGCUGCCUUUCUGUAGAAACAUUUGUGGUGAAAGUCCUCUAGAUUAUGUUAAUGAUGUCUGACUUCUUUUUUAUAUAUUGAAGGAACAUAAUUAUGUUGGAAGAGGCUUGCAUGAAAGGCCUCUAGAUUAUAUCAAGUAAUCUGGUCUAACCCUGAAGCAUAGUUCUGUAAUUGUGCUGGCAUGUUCCAAGCACAUCAUCACUAACUUGAGUUACUGUGCAGAUAUGCCGCUUUCUGGCUUGUUAUUUUUGCUGCGAAAUUUUCAUUCACCUAUUUCCUCCAGGAAAGUUUAGUUUAUCUGUUUUAACUCUGCUCUCUGCUUUUACCGGCAUCACUUUGUAUUUGAAAGUUGGCUUUCUUAUGCAGAUUAGACCUCUUGUAAAACCAACAAGACUGAUAAUCAGUUUCAAAGGCUUACAGUAUCAAUGGCAUGACUUUGUUUCAAAGAGUAAGUAUAUACCCCCUCUGUACCUAAAUAANNNNNNNNNNNNNNNNNNNNNNNNNNNNNNNNNNNNNNNNNNNNNNNNNNNNNNNNNNNNNNNNNNNNNNNNNNNNNNNNNNNNNNNNNNNNNNNNNNNNNNNNNNNNNNNNNNNNNNNNNNNNNNNNNNNNNNNNNNNNNNNNNNNNNNNNNNNNNNNNNNNNNNNNNNNNNNNNNNNNNNNNNNNNNNNNNNNNNNNNNNNNNNNNNNNNNNNNNNNNNNNNUUAUUUAGGUACAGAGGGAGUACACACUUCAUCCCAUCAUUACAGUCUUUUUUUAGCAUCAAUUGAUCAUUGUAAUUGUUCACUUUCUUGUUUUUUCUUCGAGAAAAUACAUGAGCAUUUCGUUUGGUUAUAUUGAUAGAACAAAAAUAUGCUAUUUGCAGGCCUAAUAGUGCCUCUAAAUCUCUUUGCAAAUAUUUGUUCCUUCUGGUUCUGUUGUAUAUCUGGAAAUAUUUUUGCUUGAAAAGUGUAUCUCUUCCCAUACAUUAGUGCCCUAAAUCUCUGAAGCCUUUUAUGUUGCAACUUGCCACCAUGUUUUUCCAUUGCUAUCCCAGUGUGAUGCGCUAAGCUGUGCCCUUUAAUGUGCAAAACUUGUAUGCAAUUUCUAUCAUUCUGAAGUGAGCUUGUAGGCCCAGCUUUUAAUUUUCGUAUUGGUUCUUGGAAUGCUUGCAGAUAACCAUAAUGCGAUUACAAUCCUUUCUUUAUGGGCUCCAGUGGCCUCAGUAAGUAACCUUUUUUCCUUCUAGCUUUGGUUGACAUAUAUGUACCAUUAUAGUAUUAUUUCACAUACAUCCCCUCUCUCCCAUUUAUUCAACUGUAGGUAUGAUAUAUAAUUCACAGCACUACACAAUCAUUAACAAUGAUCCUUUCGAAAUGACAAUGUAAUAAGGUUCCUUUAGAAGAAUUAAUUUGAUUAUCAUUUCAGUGUAACUUUGGGUCUUAUUGAAACAUUACACAACUUACUGGAGGCACAACUCCAGCUUACAGAACUCCAAAGAAUGAUGAUAGUUGGGUAUCAGUUCAAAUGUGUCAAGCAUAAUAAGCUCAAUAAUCUGGUAGAAAUGCACAGAUACACUUCUUUAGUGAUAUGAUACCCACUUGGAUAAACUAUCUCCUUACUAUCCAACAAGAGAAAAUACUUGUACAGAGCUUCUAUGGAUGACAAAGGAGUAAGUAGGCAAUAUGUAGCAGAUGUGCAGAAGGUAUUUCCAAGGCAUUGGAAUUUGGAACACUGAAAGAGCACUAAUUAAUUACCAGUCAGUUUACUCUCAUGGGCACAUUGGGUACAUCGAGCCAUACGCUUCCAUUCUGCUUGACUCGUUGACUAUGGGUGCUUCCUCAGUGUUUAUGUGCAACUCACACACAACUAGGAGUAAACCAUGUGGGGCUAAACCCAACAUUACCUGGUCAAACAUGGGUGCUCUUGUGCCGAUGUGUUCACUGCAUAUUGGUUAGCUGAUGAUAUCAGUUGUGGUCAUUGCUUUACUUGAUCCUGAUCUGUAGAGCAUGUGACGAUGAAUUUUGAAUUCUGUGCUGUAGACUGAAAGUUCUGAGUCAAUAGUUGAACUACCACGUAGAUGUCAGCUGAUGCAUGGUGUGAACAUAGCUUCAGACCUGAAAAAAAAUAUGGUUUCCUUGCCAGCGGCCACAGGAUAAGUAAAAUGACCACAUAUUUGUUUCAGACUAUCUGUUUUGAUGGUAAUUUAUCUUCUUAUAUCUUUAUUUUGGCAUGCUGGCUAUUAGUUCAUGGAUAGGUGACAAACUGAUAAAUAUUGUUUCUGUGGCAAAUUAUUAUCUUGCUGAAUCACCAUGCAACCUUUAUAAUUAAGAUCAGAUACAUGGUACGCUAAACUUGCAUAUGCCUGUCCAUCAGCUUGCUUGUUCCUUUUAUUUCUGUUAGGCUGAUUGUGCAGGUAGCUGCUUCUUAUACGCAGUGAACAUAAAUGCAUAUUUAUAAGAGGAAUAUUAUUGUGCAGAUCUAUCUUUUGGACAUCCAUGUUUUUUACACCAUCAUGUCUGCUCUUGUUGGAUUCCUCCUUGGUGCACGUGAUCGCCUGGGAGAGGUUAGCCCUUAAACUGUAGCUGUAUGCUGUUUUCAUGCGGUUAUUUUCUCACAAGUUGCUUCUGGAAGAUCUAUUACUCUUGUUGUUUACAAGGGAAUCUUUGUUGUUUUCUGUAAGAUGAUUUUAUUGGACUAUCACUGUGUAGUUAGUAAAAAGAGGGGAGGUGUGGGAGGAAAACUUCCACCAACGCUGUCAAUAUAAAAGAUGAGGGGUCGAACCGGUUGGCUGUUCCACCAACUGUGGUUCUAGAUAACUGAGCUCAGGAGGUGGCUUAUUAUGUGUAGUUAGUCAGUGUAAAGUGCACUUCUGUAAGAGCAUCUCCAACAGGCGCACAAAAAAGGCCUCGCGCGCUAAAAACUGGCGUUUUUGUGCACCCGAGACAAAAACUAGUUCUCCAGCAGAGGCUGUAAAAUAGUGCGCGCACAAAAUGCGUCAGCGCGCCCGCUGCAGUUGGGCGUGCUGGCUUCUGGGCUGCAUAUUUGAGGCGCCGGAUUGUGCGCGUUGGUCGCUGCACGUGGGGCCGUCGGAUUGGGCGCCAUAUUUUGCAGUGCCUGUUGGAGCAAACAUUCUCCAGCGCGCUAAAAAACGCUAUUUCGGCGCUGAAUAAAUUUUUUAGUGCGCGGCGCUAGCACGCGUCUGUUGGAGAUGGCUCUAAGAGCAUCUCCAACAGGCGCGCUAUACAAGCGCCGCGCCGCAAAAAAGGCAGUUUUAGCGCGCGCGCAACGCAGCGGGCAGCUCCAGUGGGCGCGCAAAAACGGCGCGCGCGCCAUUUCCAUUUCAGCGCGCUGGCCGAAACGCAAUCCCGCGCCCCUUAUUUGCUGCGCUGGCUCCCGCGCGCGCGACUCUCCCGCGCUCGCUCCUGCUCUCUCCCGCAACGCACAAUGAUCUUCAGAAGGAUCUGAUUGAAGAGUGGUGGGCAUGGCAUGGACGACAAAGAGCAUGAUUUGGUUGUGUUUAUUGCAUUAUUUGUAUUGUAUUGUUCAUGAACUAUUGGUUGUGUUUAUUGCAUUAUUUGUUGUACUGAAGGAUAAACUAUUUGUUUGAGUUGUAAUGACUAUUUAUUGUUGAUUUAUUUUGUUUGUUUGAUCGUUUUUGCGCCUAUUUUUUGAAAUGUAUAUGUGGUGUAUAUGUGGUUUGUGCGUGCUGCGCGCGCUGCAUUUUUGGGCACUGCUGGAGCGGCGCGCGCGCGCUGCAUUAUAGCGCGGCUGUUGGAGCCAGCGCCUAUCUCCGCGCUAAACCAUUCGAAGCGCGCGCUGCAAACGCAUUUUUUGGGCGCGGCCCGAAGCGCGGCUGUUGGAGAUGCUCUAAGGAAAUACAAUCAUAAAUAGCACAUGAACCAUUCACAUGCAAAAUAUAUUAACUUUUGGUUCCCCGCAUAUGGUUCAUAUUUUGUUGUUUUCUUUCCUAGCUCUUCAUAUAUUUAUGGCUGAUAAAGCGCGGUUUGUUUGAUUAUCUGUUGCUUUAUCCUGCCUGGUGGUCCUAUUUUUUUACAGAUUAGGUCUGUUGAAGCAGUUCACAGGUUCUUUGAGAAGUUCCCUGAAGUAUUCAUGGAUAAACUUCAUGUUGCUGUUCCAAAAAGGUUUUAAAUGUUUAUACAGUUUUUUUACACACCAUUUCAAUACACUAAAGCUGGUUUUGAUGGAUCAUACAGGAAACAACUGCUAUCAUCUGGUCAGGUGUGUUUCCUUUUCACAUCAGUACUCCACAACUUGUUCCUUUAUAAUUUAGCUUUCUGUAGCGGGAUCCCUGAUCGCAUGUUUUUUGAAAUAUAUUCUCCAAAUUCAAUAUUUAUUUCCUCAAGUUAAGAAGCUUUGUCUUGUAAAGAGCUCAUGGUUCAACUUGAUAUUUACUCUCAUAUGUUACUAGAAACAUGUAGAAACGUACCAUUGGAGUACCUUCUACGAGAAAUAUGACAGUCUAAUUUUCUCGUAAAAACUUAUCUAUGCUCAUAUUUGUUGUCAAAAUUACCAAGUGUGUUUGCUAAUGGACAUGAAAGUGAUAAAUUUUGGAUCAGUGGUAGCUUGUUUUGUCUGUUAUAGUAUUAUUUUUCUUGUAGCCACUGGCUCCUUAGCUUAAAGCAUGAACUUCAGACUUGAAAUAUUCUCGUUCCUACAAAGUGAAUAUAUUUGUUAAGAAGUUAAAUAGGUAGGCAUUGCUCCUCCUGUGCAAAGUGAAUAUUCUUGUUCCUACAAAGUGAAUAUAUACCUGUGCAAAAUAAUCAAUUCUCCACUGAAAGUUAAAUAGGUAGGCAUUGUUUCUCCUCCUGUCUGAGUAUUCCUCAGUCCUAAUCCUCCUCCAUUACACAAGCAUCUCUGCUUCCUAUGCCUUACACCUGUGAUGCCCCUCUUUAGCGUUUUCUAGAUAUCUUGUGUAAUUUUCAUUUUGUUUUUAAAUUGUCCUGUAUGUUCUAAUGUGUAUAGCCAUUAUCGGAGUCAUCAUUGUUCUACUUCAAUUCCUGCCUUGCACCGGACUUAUAAUAAUUCGGCAUGGUCGUUUAAGAUUUUGGUUAUAACAGUUAUGGCUAAGUGUUUUGCAUUUGUAUUGCUAUUGCUUUGCUUAAGCAAGUAAUACUGCCUUUUUGUUGCGCAAAUUAUAAAUAUACCAUGUUUUCUCUGAGUUAUUUAUUUUUAGUUUAAAUAUGCUGACACUGGAAACACCAAAUUUACCAGCAUGCAGAGUUAAACAAGCUUGAUGCAUCUAGAUUCGCUCCUUUCUGGAAUGAAAUUGUGAAGAAUUUGCGGGAAGAGGACUACAUUAGCAACACGUCAGCAAAUUUCUUCUCAAUUUGUGUUAUUGUUUUGUUGAAAGCCAUAGCUCUGAUGUUUUGACCCUUUUGCAGUGAGCUGGAUUUACUCUUGAUGCCAAAGAACAUAGGUGGUCUUCCAAUUGUGCAGUGGCCACUUUUUUUGCUUGCUAGCAAGGUUAGAAGUCAACCAAGUUUAACUUCUAAUAGUAUUCCCUUGCAUGUUCUCCACGUGCUGUCACUUUAGUGAUCAGUUGCCCUUCGAUUGCAGGUUUUCUUGGCCAAAGAUAUUGCAGUUGAUUGCAACGACUCACAAGAUGAACUAUGGCUAAGGAUCUCAAAGGACGAAUAUAUGCAAUACGCUGUUGAGGAGUGCUUUCAUAGCAUCAAGUAUAUCCUGUCAUCUAUUCUAGAUAAAGAAGGCCAUCUCUGGUAAUGGUUUUUUAGAACAUUAUUUGUUUUCAUUCUGUGUCCUUUCACCUAGUAGUUCAGCAGAUUUUUUAUGCUGCAAAGUAUUUUAAUUUUUUAGGGUGCAAAGGAUUUUUGAUGGUAUUCAAGAAAGCAUUUCAAAGAACAACAUCCAGAGUGAUAUUCAUUUCAGCAAAUUGCCUAAUGUCAUUGCCAAGCUUGUUGCUGUAGCGGGAAUACUGGUAAAUAUUAUGAUUUAGUUUGAAUACAUUAAUAUUCUGGUGUGUUUUUUGGGUGCCUUUUCAGUUACAUGCGUGUAUCGGUCAUAUUUACGGCAAGAUCACCUUAUUCCACUGGAGUCCGAACUUCUCCAUUUGCUAGAACUAGAUUCUCUUUGGUUAUCUUGUGCUCCCUCCGUCCGAAAAUACUUGUCAUAGGAAUGGAUGUAUCUAGAUGUAUUUUAGUUCUAGAUACAUCCAUUUUUAUACAUUUGUGCGACAAGUAAUUCCGGACGGAGGGAGUAUUUUAUUGCUUACUCACUGAGGCAGAUAUCCAUGGUACUGUGAAAGCUCUGUUGAAACCUCCUAGCAUUCUCUUUUCAGUUACAUGUCUUGUAUAGACCAUAUCUGCUGGAAGAUCACCUUAUUCAUGGCUGAAAUCCAAUCUAUACCAUUUGCUAGAACUAGAUUUUCUUUACGCUCCCUUUGGAUGUUUGCAUUAAGAGUCUUGGCAUUGCAUUGUGUUGAAUACCAAUAUAACAGUAUAUUGGUAUUGAGAUUGAAUGCCAAUAUUUCAGUUUGGAUGUUUUGGUAUCUAGAACACGAUUUGAUAUCGAGGUUGAAUGCCAAAUUCCGUUUGGAUGGUGAAAGUGUGGAAUUAGGUCGAAUGAGACUUUGCCGGACAGGGGAGAGGGGAGAAGGCCGGUCGCUGGAUCCCGUGGUGGAGGCUGGGCGGAAGGGUGCCGCCGGCCGCUGGAUCUCAAGGGGAGGCGGUGCGGGAGGGUGGCGCGGGCCGCCAGAGCUUGGGGUGGAGGUGGGGCGGGAGGGUGGCACCGUCUGUUGGAGCUUGGGAGAGCUACCUGCGCCGGAGCCUCGGGGUGGAGGGCCGCCGGCCGCCGGAUCUCGGGUUGGAGACAGGGUGGGAGGGAGGGCCGCCGAUUGCCGGAUCUCGCGCCGGAGCUCGGGGUAGAGGGACGCCGUCCACCGGAGCCCUGGUGGAGGUGGGGGGAUGGGCUACCUGCGCCGCCGUCGUUCCUCUGUCGCGAGCGGGGAUGGAAGGCAGGACGCUGCUUUUCAAUACCCAGCGAUGUCGAGCGCACACCCUCCGAAUUGGGCCAGGGGCUUCUUGCGUUAGGGACGGGUUGCUCAAUAUCGAGCCCGGAUGCCACGGUUGAAUGCCAAAGUCACCCAAACGGUGGUAUUCGGCCCAGAUGAAUGCCAAUGCCCAAUACCAGGCCUGAAUGUAAACAUCCAAACAGAGCGUUAGAAAUCUUGUAUUUUAUAGCCAGAGUGCUAUCUACUCAAGACAGAUGUCGCUGGUACUGUAAAAAUUCUGCUGAAACCUCCUAGCAUUCUCUACACCAUUUUGAUCUGCCCCUGUGGCUGGCAGUUUUGGAUGUGCUUUCUUAUAUUAAAUAAAUUAUGGUUUGCAUGUCCUUUAAUUGGCAGUGACAACUCUUAUCAACAUUUCCAGUUUUUGCACUUCCUUGUAUAGCCAUGACUUGGAACACUAGCAUGUCCAUUUGGGCCACUUCUGACAUGUUGGCUUUGGAGUGAAAUGGGGUCGAAGUCCCUUAAUUCAAACAUAUGCAAUAAAAACAUUUUUUAUGAAUGCAUAAAGAGGCUAGAUAGCUACCACCUGUAAGAUAAACUGGAGUGUGCUGCCUAUUUUCGUUUACUCAAGUCCAUUAAAGUGCUGUUGCUAUCUAGGACUAGACCAACGACGGGAGUUUGCUGCCAGUGUUAUGUUAUUAGCAUUUGGAAGAUAACUUUCGUUACACAUCUUUUGUGAGACAAACAUAAUGAUUGAGUUACUUGGUAACUGAUUCAUGAAAACACACACAUAAUGCAGUAAUUUUGAGUCUUUAGUUUGUGAGAAAGGCUGUUUGGUUCCAAGAAAUAGGUGAAAUCAUAUGUUAUAAAUCAUGGGAGCAAUGUUGGUCUGACCAAGGGUGUUCAGGACUUUGGUGAAAGUAGUCAAAUAUGAUACAAAUCUUUUCCUGAUCCUGAUCUAACAUUUUAAUCCCUGGUCCUAAAAUCUAUACUAUUGUUAGUAUGGUAUUUAGAACAGUUUACUAGUUUAUAUAACUGUUGAAAUGAUGUUUUGCAGAAAGAAACGGAAUCUGCUGAUAUGAAGAAGGGGGCAGUUAAUGCUAUUCAAGAUCUAUACGAAGUUGUUCAUCACGAAGUACUUUUUGUUGAUUUGAGGUCUGCUAUCUUGUCUAUAAUGUUCUAACCUUAUAGUCAGAUCUGUAUGCUGUUGUGCCAUUUCAUUUCUAAUCCCCUUUGCUUAUGAAUGUUAGUGGUAACAUUGACGAUUGGAGUCAGAUAAAUAGAGCAAGAGCCGAAGGCCGCCUCUUCAGUAAUCUCAAGUGGCCAAAUGAACCUGGAUUGGUAUUGUCGUAUGAUCUUGUUGAGUUGAUAUUUUCCUGUUAGCUUUCAUCUCUUUAUAACUAUUAUUUAAAUAUAUAUUGAUAUACCGGAAUGCAGAAGGACAUGAUCAAACGAUUGCAUUCACUUCUGACCAUCAAGGAAUCAGCUGCAAAUGUUCCUAAAAACCUGGAAGCCAGCCGGAGACUGCAGUUCUUCACGAACUCUUUGUUCAUGCGAAUGCCUGUUGCAAGGCCUGUUUCAGAAAUGCUUUCCUUUAGGUGAGGCUUCUUUAGUUCUUUUGUGCCUGUUCCAUUGACUGUGGAGCUGUUAAUAUUCUCUCAUAAGCAGUACUGCCACUGCACCUGAUUCCACUCUCUGCAGGUUCUAAUGAUAGUAACAGCUGCAAACAGCCUUUUUCCACCUUUUAAACUUCAAUAUAAUUAAUUUUGCAAGUUAAGGUUGCCCCAUAACAUAGCAAGAACGAGCUGAUUUUCACUAGAAACUGGCUAAAACCAACUGCCUUUUAAUUUUCGGUAUUUCCUAUAAUAAUAUUGUCCGGCAGGAUAUUUAGUUGCACAUGUUGCUACAAAUCUUACAGUGGGGAGAAAAAGCUGCGAUGGGCCAUUCUCUCAUAAGUAAUUCAACAAGAAUCUAGAAUCAGCCGAUUUUAAUAAGACACUGACCAAAACUGUCCUUUGUUUUGGAAAACUGAGAGCACAUGCAGUGGUUAUCAGUUUUCUACUGCUCCUAUUCAUGUGUGAAGCAACGGUUCAGCCGACCCUAGCUUUAGAUAGAGCUCCAACUGAUAAAUAUAAGCAUCCUGUUAUGAGAUUAGAUUUUAUGUGCCUGUUGUGAGUUUGUUUUUCGUUUGCUCCAAGGCCUCAAGCUUUUGUGUACUGAACUUGCCUCUGUACUAAAUGAGAAGAUGUCUUUUUUGUGCAAAAAAGAAUUAAGAUAAGAUACUACUAUGAGGGAUAUAUGCUUGAGGUCUAUAUAAUGGGCUGGCACAUACUAUUUGAAAUUAAGCAAAAGCAACCAAUAAAGCCAUUCUCAUCUGUAAUCUCCUGUUCUCUUGUCCAAGUCAUUCUUAUCUAUAGUGCCCUGUCCUUUUCUCCCCUAAAGUUGUUGGCACAUGGCUGUCCUCUACAGCGCCCUCCUCAAACACGGUGCACUUGGCCAUAAAAAUGUUUCAAAAAUUUGACAAAAAAAUGUGUUUAUUAUGCCACUAAAUUUGAAAGGUAAUCUUUAUAUACAAAUGGAGAAACUAAAAGAGAAACAGAUUCUGACUGCAAAGAGAUAAAGAAAAAAAAACUAAAGUGGGAUUUUGUUUCUCCUAAUAUUUGCCACAUUACAGAUCAUUUUUUUCGGAUGCUUGAUUAUUUGUUUUCAAAUCUUUCAUGACCAUUUACACCUUAUUUUCGUAUGGAAGCACCUGUGGGGCAGGAGCAGUAUAUGUUCUUAUGUAUUUUUAUUAGUAUAUCUACUAAUGUGUACAAGGAUAAGCAAAGCAUUAUCUCAGUUAGUGGAUAUUGAGUUCAUACUGGUUUAACUUUGGCAUAUCAGAAAUAUGUGGGCUUCGUUAAAAGAAACGCCAGUUUGUUUAGUUAUUCUUGUUGCCAUGCCUUUCUUGUACAAAUAGUAUAUAGAAUAACAAUACUUUGUAUAACACGUGUAUGAUUCCGUAUUCUUGGUGGUUUGAUUAAGUAAUACAUAAAUUAUAACCCAUUAGAUCUUUACCGUAGCAUAACAAAGUACAUUAUAUUUGUUAAGUUGUACAUGUAUAUGCUUUUUACCCAAAUUCUGUAUAUUUUAUCAUAUUUGUUAAGUUGUACAUGUCUAAUUUCCUUGUAAACAUUUUAUAAAUAAUUCCUAGUGGUUGAUAGAGCUAAUGUGUUCACAGCUAUCCAUCCACAAGUUUCUGCCGAGGUCUCUUUUAGAAUCUAUUGAUGAGUGAUGACCGUAGUUUUAAAUGGCGGGCUAGCGUUUUUAGCAGGGUCCUGCUAAACAGCAUGUAUGUACAAUUUAGUGGUUUUGGUAUACAUACGAAUAUCCUACAGUUACUGCAAUACUUGGCUGUAGGAGGGCUCUUGUUACAUAUUUGUCUGUGAAUUGGUAUAACACCCAAUCUGCAACUCUGUAACAUAAACAUAUUCCUUGAUGUGUAGUAGGCAGCGUAUUUGACAGUACUAGAACUAAAUCAUUCAUAUUUUUGUAUUUGAAACCAUACCAUUCGAGUAUAUAGUUCUCAACUUUGAGUUUGCUGAAACUAUGAGUUGAGAAUUAAAUACUCGUUUCCAGGUCAAGUGAGUACAAACUUCAGUUUUCCUUCCCCCCCAUUCAGUUGCACUUGCUUAUCUGCCUCUGACAUUGCCAUGUUCUUUUGUAGCGUAUUUACUCCAUAUUACUCUGAGACAGUGCUUUAUAGCAUCGCCGAACUCCAAAAGAAAAAUGAAGAUGGUAUAUCUACACUAUUUUAUCUUCAGAAGAUUUAUCCAGGUUUGUUCUUUCUUUCCCUGGUGAAAUUUGGUGACACUUAUGUAAAGGGUGGCCAGCUUCCAAUGAAUUGGUUUGAGAGAUCCCCUUGUUUGCUCUGUUCAAACCAUUUUCCUUUGAAGAGAUCUGUUUCUAUAUUCAAGUAGACCUGAUACCCAACUUGUUGUUAUCAACUGGUCACUUCUUAACAUCAUGAAUAAGACAAACGCCCAUGGACCAUAGCCUCCCUGUUGGAGGAGUGCUAAUAUCUAACAUGGACAAUUUGACCUAGCAGUAUACUGGCAUCAAUACUAAUGCUAUACAACUGGGCUUAUUUCAUUCCCGUCUUAAUUGUUGAGAAUGCAAUUUUCUUUGUUACCAUGGGAAUUCCUUGUCCAAACCUUAUGCGGUUAACUUAUGUAUACAGAUGAAUGGAAGAACUUCCUUACUCGCAUCAACAGGGAUGAAAAUGCAGCAGACAGUGAGCUUUUUAGCAGUGCGAAUGACAUACUAGAACUUCGGCUAUGGGCAUCUUACCGAGGGCAGACAUUAGCGCGAACAGGUUUGCUAUCUUUUGGAACUUAUAUGUUGAUUCUUCUCCGUGUGCAUUCCUGGAUCCAUAUUCUGUAACUAUGUUUGUCUGCAGUUCGUGGGAUGAUGUACUACAGAAAGGCCCUUAUGUUGCAAAGUUAUUUGGAGAGAAUGCAUUCUGAAGGUAUGUCUACUAGCUUCCUUGUCAGACAUAAAUUCUUUACUUAACUGAAUGCAUGUAGCAUCCUUUUCUGAUGUUUUUCUUGUGCAGACCUCGAAUCUGCAUUGGAUAUAGCUGGUCUGGCUGACACACAUUUUGAGUACUCCCCUGAAGCACGCGCACAGGCUGAUUUGAAAUUUACGUAUGUGGUUACCUGCCAAAUCUACGGAGUGCAGAAAGGUGAAGGGAAGCCAGAAGCUGCAGAUAUAGCUCUUCUGAUGCAAAGGUGCUCUUUAUAUUUCAUACUAAAUGAGCGAUGCUUCUCUUUUUAGAACAAGUGAAGGAGCUGAUUAGCUCUUCCUUUUUGUGCGUAUUAUAUUGUGCUACACAAGUACACCGUCUCUGAUUUUUCUUUGUUUCUCAGAAAUGAAGCUCUCAGAAUUGCUUACAUCGAUGUUGUUGAGAGCAUUAAGAAUGGAAAGUCUAGCACCGAGUAUUACUCAAAGCUUGUGAAAGCUGACAUCCAUGGAAAGGACAAGGUAGUUUAGUUUUGGAUGUCUUUCCUCCUGUCUAAAGGUUGAUUGCUGUUAUCGAUUUUCUUAAGGGCUGCUCAAUAGCAGUUGGCUUGGGUUUCAGCCGUUGUAUUCGCUGAUCACGCCUUUACUGCCUACUAUUUUAGUUCUUUUAUAUUGUUUUCGUAUAUUACGUAAAAUCUUUGUGCAGAAACUGUGGGUUAGGCCGUGACAGUAAGUACAUAGAUUGUUCAUACUGAUACUAUUAUCGCAGUUCUUUUUCGAGAAAGCGCAAAAAGCCUUUGCGUUUCAUUGUAUUGAAAAGAAGGGGGGGGGGGGGUUACAUCCUCCUAAGAGGCUAGUACAACAGCGUUACAUGAGGAUUAGUGAACAUCCCAGGAUGUGGGCAAGACUACCCUGAGCCCUUUGGCCCCGGCUCUUGCCCAACAUCUGGUCUCAUCCUUGAUCCUGUCCAUGAGCUCAUCGAGCGAUGGUGUUACAUGGUCAAAAACACACGCGUUUCUAUGCUUCCAGAUCAUCCAGGGCACCAGUAGCGCGGCCGACAUCAGCGCCUUGCGAAGCGAUAGUGGCGUGGCAUCCCUCGCCCUACAUAUUAUCGCAGUUCUCAUAUCCUUACUCUAUGACCAUACACCUGUUUAUACACGCAGCACUAAAUCUUCAACUGUGAACUUCAAUAUUGUGUUUUGUUAUAUGGGCAAUGUGUUCAUUCUGACCAAACUAAUCUUCCUAUCGCAGGAAAUUUAUUCUGUUAAAUUGCCUGGCAAUCCAAAGCUUGGGGAGGGUAAACCCGAAAAUCAAAACCAUGCUGUAAUAUUCACUCGCGGAAAUGCUGUACAAACCAUUGAUAUGAAUCAGGUAUCUAGCUAUCUUCACGCUUCUUUCUUGAGUAAUUUAUCAUCAUUUCUAGGGAAAGACUUUAUGGCUACUGGCUACCUUUAUUUGAAUCAAAUAGAGAUACAUCAUUCAUUUCUGAGCCAAAAGAGAAAAGGCAGAUUCUCCGUCCACAUGCCUGGAGGGAUGAAUCCUGGCUAAGCUUGCCAUUUUUUUUUUUUUUUUGAGAAAACGCAGAGAUAUGCGUUUCUUUGUAUUGAAAAGAGGGAAAGUCAGCCUUCGAGGAGACGAUUACAGCAGGUUACAAGUAGUUCAAUGGACAUCCCAGGAUGGGGCCAAGACUACCCUAAGCCCCUUGUCCCCGGCUCUAGCCCAACACCUCAUCUCAUCUUUGAUCCUAUCCGAGAGCUCGGAGAGCGACGGAGUGACAUGAUCAAAUACACACGCAUUCCUAUGUUUCCAGAUCAUCCAUGGAACUAGCAGCGUGGUGGACCUCAGCGCCUUGCGGAGCGAUGGUGGUGUGGCAUCUCUCGCCCUUAUCCACCAAUCCUGAAUGGAGAUAUCCUGCUCCGGCGUGGGGGCUGGUAGGCGCAGCCAGGAAAGAGCCUCGUGCCAGGGCUGGUAGGCGCAGCCAGGAAAGAGCCUCGUGUUAGGUUUGCCGCGCGAAGGGGCAGGCUAGUAGCAGGUGGCGGAUGGUCUCUGGCUCUUGGUCGCAAAGCAGGCAGCGGGCUUGAUGUGGGAGGCCGCGGCGAGCAAGUCUGUCCGCGGUCCAGCAUCGGUCCAGGUUCACAAGCCAGUGGAAGAACUUGACCUUCGGCGGAGCCCAUCCCUUCCAGACUUAUGUUGAAGCUAUCAUCAAUUAUCGACACCGCUGCAGAUUGGGGACUCAAGCCCACCUCUCAUGCGAUCAGUGAGCUCCAAACUGUUAGAAAAGCAACUUAUCUGUAUUGAAGGCCCAAGGGGCAUAUAUAUAUUACACAUGACUUGAGGUGCAAGGAAAGUAAACAUAGACUAAUAAGGACUACUAGAUUAAUACUAAUAGACUAAUAAAGACUCCUAGACUAAUACUAAUACUUCCUAACACAAACAAUCUGAACGCACAAGCAGAUGUUCAAUGCCGAUUAGGUGAGCUAGUGACAGUAUGUGUUUCAGUGCCAUUGCCUCUGUGGUAUGCUCAUCCGCUACAGGCCCUGUGAAGAAAUUCUCCGCCACAACAAAGUCGCCAGCAUAAUCUUGUAUCACCGCACCACAAGAACUUGUACUAUCAUCAUAUGACAGCGAGACAUCACCAUUAGCUUUUUAACAAUCUAAAGUGUUGUUUUGUCGGAAUUGCUACCAGUGCUUCCGGCCUGGGAGUAAUUCAGAGGCAAAGUCUGAAUCUAGAGCACCGAUCGUUCAGGCAAUUAUACCGCUUCAUUGUUAACAUGCUGCCUUUUCUCUCACAACUUAUACCAGCAUCCCAGUGACAAGGACGGCCGUAGAAACAUGUUCCAUGUACAUACCGUCAGAAUCAACGCCACUAAUAAGUUAAUCUAAAAUAGUGGACCCCGCCUUAUCAAUAAUCAUUGCCUUUUCAAUCCUUUCUUUGAGACCCCAGCUUCUCCAAAUAUUCCUCACCCGCUGGCACCCAAACAGAGCAAGCCGAAUAUCUUCUCUUCCUCAAAAGUCAGGCAGAUAGGAGAGGUUACUGUUCAAGCCCGCCCUAUCAAUACAC